rnacentral:rRNA from 1 species
UACGUAGGCAGCAAGCGUUGUUCGGAGUUACUGGGCGUAAAGGGUGUGUAGGCGGUUUUUUAAGUUUGGUGUGAAAUCUCCCGGCUCAACUGGGAGGGUGCGCCGAAUACUGAGGGACUAGAGUACGGGAGAGGAAAGUGGAAUUCCCGGUGUAGUGGUGAUAUGCGUAGAUAUCGGGAGGAACGCCAAAGGCGCAGGCAACUGGCUAGCACGAGAUUGACGCUGAGGGACGAAGGCGUGGGGAGCGAACAGG